rnacentral:rRNA from 1 species
UCCGGGCAGUGUGCGCGUGGGGCGCGUGCUUCGCAGGGGCUGCUUUUGUGGGCAUGCGUCAGAUGAGGCGACUUUAUUGUUGAACGUCUGUACGCAACCACCUUUUACUGUGAAAAAAUUAGAGUGUUCAAAGCAGGCAUUUGUCGUGAAUACAUUAGCAUGGAAUAAUUGAAUAGGACUUGGUCUUAUUUUGUUGGUUUGUUAUGGCCGAGUAAUGAUUAAAAGGGACAGUUGGGGGCAUUUGUAUUCCGGAGCUAGAGGUGAAAUUCUUAGAUUUCCGGAAGACAAACCGCUGCGAAAGCGUCUGCCAAGGAUGUUUUCAUUGAUCAAGAACGAAAGUAAGGGGAUCGAAGACGAUCAGAUACCGUCGUAGUCUUUACUAUAAACGAUGAGGACUGGGGAUCGGGCGAGGAAUUGCGAUGACCCGCCCGGCACCCUCCGGGAAACCAAAGUGUUUGCUUUCUGGGGGGAGUAUGGUCGCAAGGCUGAAACUUAAAGAAAUUGGACGGA